UACGGGGGGGGCAAGCGUUGUUCGGAAUUACUGGGCGUAAAGGGCUCGUAGGCGGCCAACUAAGUCAGACGUGAAAUCCCUCGGCUUAACCGGGGAACUGCAUCUGAUACUGGAUGGCUUGAGUUCGGGAGAGGGAUGCGGAAUUCCAGGUGUAGCGGUGAAAUGCGUAGAUAUCUGGAGGAACACCGGUGGCGAAGGCGGCAUCCUGGACCGACACUGACGCUGAGGAGCGAAAGCCAGGGGAGCAAAUGGG
rnacentral:rRNA from 1 species